rnacentral:rRNA from 1 species
ACGGCGAGUGAAGCGGCAACAGCUCAAAUUUGAAAUCUGGCGCCUCCGGCGUCCGAGUUGUAAUUUGUAGAGGAUGCUAUUGGGUUGCCACCGGUCUAAGUUCCUUGGAACAGGACGUCACAGAGGGUGAGAAUCCCGUAUGUGACCGGCCAGGCGCCCUCCGUAUAGCUCCUUCGACGAGUCGGGUUGUUUGGGAAUGCAGCCCUAAAUGGGAGGUAAAUUUCUUCUAAAGCUAAAUACCGGCCAGAGACCGAUAGCGCACAAGUAGAGUGAUCGAAAGAUGAAAAGCACUUUGGAAAGAGAGUUAAAAAGCACGUGAAAUUGUUGAAAGGGAAGCGCUUGCAAUCAGUCUCGACGGCGGCUGUUCGGCCUCUCUUCUGAGUGGUUUAUUCAGUCGCCGCCGGGCCAGCAUCAGUUUCGGCGGUCGGACAAAGGCGCGGGGAAUGUAGCUCCCUCGGGAGUGUUAUAGCCCCGCGUGCAAUACGGCCCGCCGGGACUGAGGUCCGCGCUCCGGCUAGGAUGCUGGCGAAAUGGUUGUAAGCGGCCCGUCUUGAAACACGGACCAAGGAGUCUAACAUCUACGCGAGUGUUUGGGUGUCAAACCCGUGCGCGCAAUGAAAGUGAACGGAGGUGGGAACCGCAAGGUGCACCAUCGACCGAUCCUGAUGUCUUCGGAUGGAUUUGAGUAAGAGCGUAGCUGUUGGGACCCGAAAGAUGGUGAACUAUGCCUGAAU